AAAGCCACGGCCGUCCUCCGUCCACGGCCCCGCGCUUACCCGCGGCCAGCAGCUGCAUGGCGUGGGUAAAGGACGGGUCCAGCGAGUCCUUCUCGGCCAUGAGUUCGGGCAGACUUGUAUAUCGUGUGUCCUUCAGGGGACUUCUGCAAAGGGACACGCCGAUUCUGCAGCUGGAACCAGGUUUCGAGUUCCUCCAGCACCCGUGGGCCAUGCUGCACAAGGACAUUUUUAGUGCCUGAGCCACAGCUUAGAUCAUGCCUCAGCCAAGGUUCCUCCACUUUGGGAAGGAAGCAGUUUAUUGCAGUAUGUUAGCCUUCCUCCCCCGUCUCCCUUCACCGCAGACAAGGAAACAACCUUGUGAGAGCCUAAAGACAACGCAAUCUGAACAAAUCCAAACCCCCAAAGUCAAGCAAUGCAAAAGGUUUUUUUUUUCCCUCCAGAAUUACCCAGGAGGCUUAAAGACGCUCAGACACCUGGGAAAUGUCUGCAUGGAAACUUUAGCUGCUAUCUGUGCUUCACAGGAAAAAAUAAAAAAUAAAAAUAACUUUUAAAGUGGAA